rnacentral:misc_RNA from 1 species
GUACAUUUUAUAGAAUUUUUGGUUAAAAGAGUGUGUGGGUGCGGAUAUGAAGUGCAGGGUUACACAUUUAUAAGCUUGAAUUUGACAAUGGAGUCAUUUUAUUUUGUGGAUUUGUUGUCUUGCUAGUUUUUUGUUUGAUCUAUGUUUUAAUGAUAUAUGAAUUUUUAAAUUCUUUAGGGCAUGUUAGUUGUGCGCCUUAUAUAUCCUAACCAAUUUAGUCGGAGUUUGUAUAAUAGUCUUAUCAGUGGUUACAGCUAGCGAUAAGGUUUGGCUUAGCGGCUAGAAACUAGCUUCUAGGUUCCAGAGAAACUUGCAUGGUACUGCAAUUCACAAGAAGUUUUCACUUCAAGGGCUAUGCGGUGAGGAGUGGGGUCGGGGUCAUAUGGUCGGAUUUUUGGAAUUCAUGAAUUUUUAAUUAUGCCGACUCUGGGUGUUUGUGUGGAAUGAUGAGCCUUUGCUGCUUCUCUGCGAACUAUUUUCAUGUGCAUGAAAAUUUUCAGUUUUUGUUCCAUUAUUUGUAGUCCCUGUUAUUAAUUAAUGAUGUAUCUUGCUAUUCAGGAUGAGAAUGUCAAGCAGACAGCACACCUCAUUUACCAAACUGCACUUAUGGAGAGUGGCUUCAUG